ensembl:lncRNA
UAUGUGUGCAAUUACACUUAUGCAAAUAUGUUAUAUGAACAGAGUGUAUACGUAAAUGCACACAUAUUAUAUGUAUAAACUUAGAAGUUAAAAAUACAUACAUGCAAAAUAUAAGUACACAGUGAGACAGGAGCGAAAACUAAAAAGAAAAAAAAAAAUAAUAACAUAAUGGAAUACAUUUUAAACAACGAGGAAAUUAAAAAAGUUGUCGAAAAAAAUGAAAUUUAUUACUCAGUCGUUGAGUUUAAUGAUGUCCUAUAUUUAAAUAACAAGCUAUAUAAACAAAUUGACAACUUACAAAAUUUGAGCAACUUGAAAACGUUAUACCUGAACAAUAAUGGUUGGUUAAAGAAUAUAAUGUAAACAGAUAAAUUUUAUGAAUGUUUUAGUAUGUAAACUGUAUAAAUGAAAGCACACUGAACAUAAAACAAAAGACAAAAUUGUUAUUAAUAUAUGUAUAUAUAUAUAUUAUUUAUUUUUUUUUUUCCUUUUGUUUCCUUUCCCUUUUUCCAAAUUGAAUUAACAAUAUGUUUAGCCUUAGAAAGCAUUAAUGGACUUGACUCUUGUGUUAACCUCAUAGCACUGUUAGUAUUUAUUUGUAUAUGCAUAUGUAAAUGUUACAAAUUAAUUUUUUACACAAUAUGAAACAGCAAUAUAUAUAUAUUAUCAUUAUGACAUAAAUAAACAGUUGAUGAUACAAACAUACAUACACUAAUUACAUGAUAGUAUACUAAUUAUAUAUAAUUUUUUUUUUUUUUUAAGAUAUUUAAAUUGUAAUAAAAUUUCCAAAAUUAAAAAUUUAGAUUUUUUAAGUAAUUUGAGAAUAUUAAAUUUAGAGAACAAUAACAUUAGCGUAAUAGAAAAUCUAGGUACUUUAUUUUUUUAUUUUAUUUUUUUUGUAUUAUUGAUGCGUUAUAUACACAUAAAUAUAUGUAUAUAUAUAUAUAUAUAUAUGUAUAUAUUACCCAAUUUAUACAGCUGUAGCACUUUUUCCUUCACUUCUUUAGACAAACUAACUUAUUUAGAAGAGUUAAAUCUUAACAAUAAUUGUUUAGGUAGUAAGGGUUCAGCCCAAGUUUACAAUUUGCAUAGUAAUGGUAGACUAUCCAUAUUAAACUUAAGCAACAACCAAAUAAAUGAAGAUGUUAUAUAUGACCUAAGUCGUUUAAAACACUUAUCUAUUUUGUACUUUGUUAACAACCCAAUAUUGACAACUUAUGGAAAUUAUCGAAGGUUAUUUGUGCAUACGUUAAAGGCUUUAACCUUUCUGAACUAUAGACCCAUUAAAAAGGAAGAAAGAAGAUGUGUUGAAGCAUUUUUCGAAGGAGGAUUACAAAAAGAACAAGAGGAGUUGGAGAAGAUAAAAUCUGAGAAACGGGCACAGCAUGAAUUUGAAGUAGAAUACUUUAGGAGGCACGUUAUGAAUAAGUGGUAGAGAGUUAAACUAAAAUACAUCUGACUCAUUUAGAUAGUCAAAGAUGCAUGCAAAAUUCGUAAAAUAUAGUCACACUUUUCUUUAGUAUUCAAAUGUUUCCACUGAAAAGUUAAAAAAAAAAAAGAAAAAGAAAAUUACUUGAUGAAAGGUUUGUAUUUAUGAGAAGAUUAAAAGAAAGCACAUUUUUUGUUGCUUCAUAAUGUGGAUACAUAUAUAACUGGACGUAUUAAAAUAUAUGUAUAUAUGUAUAUGCAAGUGUUAUGAACUUAUAUAUUUUUUAUUUAUUUUUCCUCUUUUGCUUUAUUUUCCCAUUUGUUUGCUAUUUGCAUUUUACCUCGCUCAAAUAUAACAAAGAUGUGUUGUAGGUCUUUUUUAUAUUUUCGUAAACAUAAUGGCUUUCGUUUAUGAGAAUCUUAUUUUCUUGAUUUUUGUCUCUGAAAAAAUGAACAGCCAAAAAAAAAAAAAUAAAUAAAUAUAAAAUGAAAAUAUUACA